CCUCUCGCAGGGUCGCACCUGAAGAGUUUCCAGGACUCUAUCAGUCUCAGCUAUUGGAGGGAGAGGCAAACAGAGGCAUAUCCAUUCCAUUACUAGGCUGGCCAGUGGCUAGUGAGUGGAAGGCACUCUGCUACAAGU